rnacentral:snRNA from 1 species
GUGCUUGCUUCGGCAGCACAUAUACUAAAAUUGGAACAAUAGAGAGAAGAUUAGCAUGGCCCUUGUGCAAGGAUGAAUUCAUGAAACGUUCCAUAUUAUU